rnacentral:rRNA from 1 species
AGUGAACGCUGGCGGUAGGCCUAACACAUGCAAGUCGAACGGCAGCACAGUAAGAGCUUGCUCUUACGGGUGGCGAGUGGCGGACGGGUGAGGAAUACAUCGGAAUCUACUUUUUCGUGGGGGAUAACGUAGGGAAACUUACGCUAAUACCGCAUACGACCUACGGGUGAAAGCAGGGGAUCUUCGGACCUUGCGCGAUUGGAUGAGCCGAUGUCGGAUUAGCUAGUUGGCGGGGUAAAGGCCCACCAAGGCGACGAUCCGUAGCUGGUCUGAGAGGAUGAUCAGCCACACUGGAACUGAGACACGGUCCAGACUCCUACGGGAGGCAGCAGUGGGGAAUAUUGGACAAUGGGCGCAAGCCUGAUCCAGCCAUACCGCGUGGGUGAAGAAGGCCUUCGGGUUGUAAAGCCCUUUUGUUGGGAAAGAAAGGCAGCAGGUUAAUACCCCGCUGUUCUGACGGUACCCAAAGAAUAAGCACCGGCUAACUUCGUG